GUUUUAAAAACGUAACAACAUUUAAAUAAGCUUGAUAUGGAAAAUGUUUUUCCAAAAAACGUUUUAGAUAUAUUACAAAAAUGUUUUACUGUAAAUAUUUUUGGGAGAUAUAUUUUGCAAACAUUUUUUACACAUUUUGUGAAAAAUGUAUGCAGGUGCAAUAUUUCUAAAAUAUUAAAAAAAAGUGUUGUUGAAUACCUAAUCACGUGUUGUGAACCACGCACUCUUGGUGCAGUGCGCACUGCGCAGAACGCUUAACGGCUUCGUCUUAUACUUAACCUCACUUGCAACGAAUUGUUUACUACACGGUUUAUUGUUCCUUAAUUUGUUCGUGUUAAUUUAAGUGUGUGGUAUCAUUUGCUAUAUUGUGCUCCAUUAAUUUAUUCAUUUUAUUAUUAGUUUAGUUGCUAAAUUUUUGAGUGCUUUUCCGCCGGUGAAUUAUAACUACUUACCUACAUAAGCCAACUCCAAUACUCUAUUUAGUCGUGCUGUAUAUUCAAAGAAUAAAUUGCAAUGUCAAAGAGAAGGAAAUUACCGUUUAAGUUACUGUCAGCUCGCAGUCAACGUAGAAGGAUGUAUGAUACUGAUGAUGAGGAUGAUAGUACCAAUUUAAGCAAUGCAGAUAAAGAUAUUGAAACAGUCAGCUUAUCUGAUGAUCAGAAGGCCAUUCACAGCGAAUCUGUAACACGAUCCAUGCAUAAUCAAAGUGCAUUCGAUUCUAACCUCGAUUCAAACUUUGAAACAUCCCAAACUAGUUCCAAUCUUCUUGCUACGUCUGUUUCAUCAAGUUCACCAUCUUCAAAUAUGUUAAAGCUUUCAUCUACAGAUUCAGAGAGCAGUACGGCUAGUCUGUUUGAUGUAGAAUCGAAUACUAAUCCUAAGACCGAAUUAGAAGAUAUUACAAUUUUUUUACAAGAGUGGGCGUUGAAUACCAAUUGUACAACAUCUGCACUAUCUUCUUUACUUGUGGGAUUAAAAAAACAUUCUUGUUUUUCUCGUCUCCCAACUGAUGGAAGAACUCUCUUAAAAGUGAAACGGUUGUUAUCAUCUAAGCCUGUUGAUCCGGGACAAUAUGUGCAUAUUGGCCUAAAGCACCAAUUAAAAGUAAUUUUUGAGCCUUUGACAUCGUUAUCCAUCACUACAAUAGAUUUAUUAAUAAAUAUUGACGGGUUGCCACUUUUUAAAAGUUCCCCCGGGCAACUAAUUCCCAUCUUAUUUUCUAUUCCAACAAUAGUUCAAUUGAAAGGUCAAGUUUUUCCCUUGGGUUUUUAUUAUGGGUUACAAAAACCUAAGAGUAUGUCAGCGUUUUUGAAUGACUUUGUUACUGAAGCUGUAGAUUUAAUCCAAAAUGGUUGUUUGUUGAAUAUGACAAAUGUUAUUGUAAGAAUAAUUGGUUUUGUGUGUGAUGCUCCAGCUAAAAGUGAUGUGUUAGGCGUUAAAGGACACAGUGGUUAUUCUUCUUGUACACGUUGUACUGUAGUUGGAGAAACGAGAAACCACAGAAGAAUUUUUUUAGAAACUAAUUGUGCUGCUAGAACUAACAGUGACUUUAUUAAUUGGAUUGAUCCAUCAUACAGAUUACAUGACACUUCUUUAGUUAAAAUACCAAAUUUAGAUUUUGUAAAUGGUUUUGUCUUAGACUAUAUGCAUUUGGUAUGUCUGGGGGUAAUGCGAACUUUAAUUGUGACAUGGUAUUCUGGAGAUUUACCUCACAGGCUUUCAUUUGAAAAUAUUUCAACAAUUUCUAAUAAUUUAUUACAAUUGGUUCAAAAUACACCAACUGAUUUUGUGAGGAAACCUAGAGAAAUAAAAUAUGUUCUUAGAUGGAAAGCCACAGAAUUUCGAAUGUUUCUAUUGUAUUUCGGCCCUGUUGUUUUAAAAGGCGUUCUAGAUCCUGAAAAAUAUAACAAUUUCAUUACCUUACAUGUGGCCAUUUCAAUUUUGUGCAAUACAUUUAGAUGCAAAGAUAAAGAUCAGAGACAGUAUGCUAGGUGCUUACUAAUUAAUUUUAUUAAAAAUGUGCAAACUUUAUAUAGUCCAGAUUUGAUGACUCAUAACUUUCAUGGACUUAUUCAUUUGACUGAUGAUGCUGAUUACUUUAUAGGCAAAAUCCCUGAUUUUUCUUUAGACAGUAUAUCUGCUUUUCCAUUCGAGAAUUAUAUGCAGCAAAUUAAGAGAAUGGUAAGGGCGAAGAACGCACCUUUGGAACAGAUUAUAAAUAGGAUUAGUGAAAAAUUUUGUUAUGGUUCGCCUAUAGAUCCUAUUCAUAAUACGGAUACACCAAAAAUGUUAAUUUCUCAUCAAAGUGGUCCACUUUUGCCCAAUUGUGGAAAUCCACAAUACAAAAAAAUUUCUUUCCGUUCCUUUACUCUUUCUACUACAGCUCCCAAUAAUUGCUGUAGAUUAGUAAACGGUGACAUAAUUCUUCUUGAAAAUAUAGUAUUUUGUACUAUCAGCAAUUCAUUUGUAAUUUUAGGGCGUAAGUACUUAAUAAAAAAUUAUUUUUAUCGGGUUCCCUGUCAAAGUAAUAAUUUAGAUAUCUACAAACUUUCGAAAUUGUCUCAAUUAAAUAUGUUUGAUGUUAAAGAAGUAUCUGUAAAAUAUAUUACACUGCCACGUAAGGACUUUGUCGUAGCAUUUCCACUGUUACAUACCUAUUCUUAAGCUAUACCUACUCACAGUUUAAUUUAGAUUUUGUUUCUUUUUUUUGGAGAUAUUUAGCUACACUCCAGUUUCAUUUAUAUUUUAUAGUAUUAAUAGGCACGACUAUACUACGUAAUCUUAUUCUAUAUGUUAUGUAGACUGUUGUUGUAGAAUGUGGACUCUUAUACAAUUUAUUGACGAUGAUGAUGAUAAUGAUUACGAUGUCAUUCCAACAUCAUGGAUUGUUAACAACACUACAUGCGUAUUUCCCCAAGAAAAGGCAUCAAAGGUGAAGUUUUUAGUAAAAAGUAAUGCCUCGCCAGAUAAAACCUGGGAAGAGAUGCAGAUACAAAUAAUACACAAUGAAAUUGGCAAUUACAACAAAGCUCUGCAAAUGAUGUUUAGAGCAGCAAAAAAAGCACCAUUAUUUUCAGAUGACGAAAAAGGCAGAGGACAUCGCCAAAAAAAAGAAACCAAGUUUCAUGGUGAAUGUGACUCAGAGGAAAAUUCGCCAAGAAACCGCAAUAAUUCUAAGGAGUUAUUGGAGGAAUCGCAUUACCCUACAGUUCCACCUUCAUUUUCUGUAAAAUACAAUAAGCAAGCCUCGACACCCGCACCUCACAAAAGGACAACAUUGCCACCUUCUGAACUGGCAAACACAACUGCACUUUUGAUGGGAAUAAUCUUCUCUUUUCUAUUGCACAACAGUUGUGCAAAUUAUCAGUUGAUAUGACUAAAAUGAAAACCCACUUGAAACAUAUAAGGGAAAAUACUAAUGAAAAAGUAAAUGCAACUGUGGAAGAAUCCUACGAUGCCGACGAAUUAUUUCUUUUUCCGAUAAAAAAUGAGGAGCAACUCCACAAUAUAGAGACGCAAUUAAAAAAUCCAGAUAAUAAUAAUAAAUUGAUAAAAACAUUGUUGCAUCAGGCUGAAGGCAAAUCUGUACCGAAGAUGGUAGGUUCGAUUAUGGCCUAUGUUAUUUCCAAUGAAGUGGCUUCCAAUUUCAGUUGGAAGGGCCAAAAAAGUAAACAAGCAUUUCAGGAAAUGGAAUUGGCAAAAGCAGUUGUGGCUGCAGUCUUAAAAAAAUAUCCAUCUGAAUCAAAACAAGACGUUAUAAAAAGUAUCCAGUUGUGGUUAGCACAAGCACCUACACGAAUGAAAAGGGCUCUUGAGGUUAAAUUAAGAAAAAACGCGAUUAAUGAAGAUACUACCCAAAUGGAUCCUGAAAAUGGCAAUGGAGAUUCCUGAAUCUAAAAGGAAACACAUCAUGUGAAUAAAUUACAUAUAACACAAAUUUUAAUAAAUAAAUAUUUUUUGAAUGCA